ensembl:misc_RNA Metazoa_SRP Metazoan signal recognition particle RNA
GCCUUAAAAAAAUGACAAAGUCUUGGGAGGCUGAGGCUGGAGGAUCACUUGAGUCCAGGAGUUCUGGGCUCUAGUGUGCUAUGUCAAUCGGGUGUCUGCACUAAGUCUGGCAUCAAUAUGGUGACCUCCCGAGAGUGAGGGACCACCAGGGAGCGGGGACCACCAGGUUGCCUAAAGAGGGUGAACUGGCCCAGGUCAGAAACAGAGCAGGUCAAAACUCCCAUGCUGAUCAGAAAUGGGAUCGCGCCUGUGAAUAGCCACUGCACUCCAGCCUGGGCAACAUAGCAAGACCUCGUCUCUA